UACGUAGGGUGCGAGCGUUAAUCGGAAUUACUGGGCGUAAAGGGCUCGUAGGCGGCCAACUAAGUCAGACGUGAAAUCCCUAGGCUCAACCUAGGAACUGCGUCUGAUACUGGAUGGCUUGAAUCCGGGAGAGGGAUGCAGAAUUCCAGGUGUAGCGGUGAAAUGCGUAGAUAUCUGGAGGAAUACCGGGUGGCGAAGGCGGCAUCCUGGACCGGCAUGACGCGUGAGGAGCGAA
rnacentral:rRNA from 1 species